rnacentral:rRNA from 1 species
CCUACGGGAGGCUGCAGUGGGGAAUAUUGCACAAUGGGCGCAAGCCUGAUGCAGCCAUGCCGCGUGUGUGAAGAAGGCCUUCGGGUUGUAAAGCACUUUCAGCGGGGAGGAAGGCGUUAAGGUUAAUAACCUUGGCGAUUGACGUUACCCGCAGAAGAAGCACCGGCUAACUCCGUGCCAGCAGCCGCGGUAAUACGGAGGGUGCAAGCGUUAAUCGGAAUUACUGGGCGUAAAGCGCACGCAGGCGGUCUGUCAAGUCGGAUGUGGAAUCCCCGGGCUCAACCUGGGAACUGCAUUCGAAACUGGCAGGCUAGAGUCUUGUAGAGGGGGGUAGAAUUCCAGGUGUAGCGGUGAAAUGCGUAGAGAUCUGGAGGAAUACCGGUGGCGAAGGCGGCCCCCUGGACAAAGACUGACGCUCAGGUGCGAAAGCGUGGGGAGCAAACAGGAUUAGAUACCCUAGUAGUC